GAUCUCUGCGCUGGCCAGGCAUGCAGAACAUUCUGUUCGGUCCCACCGGACAGAGGCUCCAUCUAGAUGAGACCAGGCUGGUGGGGCAGGACAAGGACUCCUGGGAGCUGAAAUGGCCUGGCAGAUGCUUAGUGAGAGAGGGUUUCUUGAGACAGCACCAUUUCUGGGGAGAGAGUCACCUGGGAGGGGUGAGGCCAUGCUCUGGCUUGGAGGUAAAGGGAGGGGCCAC
ensembl:misc_RNA